GGGGGGGGGGGGGGGGGGGGGGGGGGGGGGGGGGGCGGGGGGGGGGGGGGGGGGGGGGGGGGGGGCGCGGGGGGGGGGCGGGUGGGGAAGCCGUGGGUACCCGGGCCUUGACGGUGGGGUAGCUUCGGGGACCGGGGGCGAAGAGCGGAUAGGAGCUCCUGCUGCAUGGUGGGGGGUGGCAAGUUUCGGCGGGUGGGGAUGGACUCGCGGCUUAUCAGCUUGUUGGUGGGGUAGUGGCGUACCCAGGCUUUGACGGGUAGCCGGCCUGAGAGGGUGACCGGCCACAUUGGGACUGAGAUACGGCCCAGACUCCUACGGGAGGCAGCAGUGGGGAAUAUUGCACAAUGGGCGGAAGCCUGAUGCAGCAACGCCGCGUGCGGGAUGACGGCCUUCGGGUUGUAAACCGCUUUCGCCUGUGACGAAGCGUGAGUGACGGUAAUGGGUAAAGAAGCACCGGCUAACUACGUG
rnacentral:rRNA from 1 species